UUUCCUUCUCCUAAAUCUUCACUUGGGGCGAGGGGGACCCGUAGAGACGCAAGUCUACCGUGCUAGUUGUUGAAGGGAUCAGUGAGAGUGGAGACUGCGGCCAUCGCACUGAAAAUCGUUCCAGAAUCCGUCUUCCCUCCCCGGUUAGUCUGGUGAUGGGGAGGCCAACAGCGAGGCUGUACAAGGGUGCUGCCGCAGCAUCUUCCGCCUAUAGCCACGUUCUGGCGGAGCCUAGGCGAAAGACUCCUGCGUGAUCCUGGCCGUUCUCAGUUCUUCACGGACUCUCUUGCCAGCAGACUAGCAGAACGUAGGGAAGUACCCUACCACUGUACUGUCUGCCGAAAACCCUUGGGAUUUGGCUGUGUUGCUAAAUGCUCAUUACAUUGAUUGAAACCAAGAUCUGAGCAAACGGCCUUCGGAAACUCUUACUAACACGCAGGGACACUGAAAAGUAAAGGCGGUCGGGAGAGGAAAGUAACCGGACUUGCGUGUCUCUCGCUUCUGUAGAACUUUCUGCAUGGUUUGGUCUGAGGACAAGCGGUGGUGGUGUAUGCCUUUAAUGCCAGCACUCUGGAGGCAGAGGCAGGAGAGUGUCUGAGUUCAAGGCCAGCCUGGUCUAGAGAGUGAGUUCCAGGACGGCGAAGGCUACACAGAGAAACCCUGUCUCGAAAAGGCAGAAAUGGUUAUGAUGAUGCUAUCAGAAAUUAUGCUGCUUGUGAAGAGAGAAAUUAAGCUCUUUUGGUCCAGUGAGGUUAUUAAAGAAUGUAAUUUUCAAAUCCUAGUAAAACUUUGAAUCUCCUGAGUGCUGAGAUUACAGGUGUCAGCAUGUCCACCUCUGCCACUGUCAACACCCGCCAUUGCCUCUUCAUGAAAUGAUGGCUGACCCAGGAUGGUUUUCCUUGCCGCAGGCUGAAAGGAACAGGGCCGGUUUGGCCGUGGAUUGAAACUUGGAACUGAGACAAGUUUUCUCUGUUUAUUCCUGGAUAUCCUGCAUUGACUUUGAGGCUGUCCUCAAACUCAGAGAAUUGCCUGCUUCUGCCUCCAGAGUACUGUGAUUAAAGGCUUGUACCACCAUGCCUGGCUGCAGUAAUUUUUUAAUACUACAGUCUUUUAAAAUGUAUUUAAAUAUAUAACUUAAAAAGAAAACUUUUUUUCUGUCUGUUCCCCUAAAAUAAAACUUUCAUGAUAAAAUGUAUCACUAACAAUUCAAGAAGAACUUUAUUGGCAUCCAUAAGCAGGCAUCUCUACAGCCAGCCCCAAGGGACCUGGUAAACCAGACAUCAGGCAUCUGUGACUCCAUCUAUGGACCACCUGCGGACCACCUGAACCCACCUGCACAUGCUCUGGGUCACCUUAUAACAGAACUCCCACCACCCACCCCCUCUCUUGCGCUACCCAGAGAAGGUCUCUGUGACCCCUUUCCUCUUCUCUUAAUAAACCUCCCACAUGGAAACAGU